AAUAAACUUGUUUCGAGAGUUAAUUGAUCAUAAUGCAUUUGAAAGAGAAUUGAUGCCCAUAACCACCUUUGGUUUUUCCAGUCAAAUAAACUUGUUUCGGGGGUCAAUUAAUGUAGAUGUAGUGUAUAAAAAUGGAAAGGCAGACCAAGAGUGGUAAGAGCAUUAAAAAUUGAGAAAGACAUUGUUUCAAUAUUAUAGUCAGUGCCGUGAUUGAAGCAUCAAACGUGGGCUUCACGUUGGUAUUGGGGUUAGUCAUUUUUAUCAUAGAGGCGACUCCUUAGCUAUACAAAGAGGUUCUCACCAACAAAAAAGAAAGAGAAGAUUACAGAGCUGGAAUCUGGAAAAUCGAAGAAGAAUUUGGGUUAUGAUUUUGAGCAAGGAUUACCCGUUUUGUUGAGAUCAAAGAAGAAGAAAACGGAUCAGAUUUAUGAUUCUACGGGAUCGAGAACUUCUCCUGUUGAAGUUCUUGAGCUUAGAGUUAACCCAAUGGGAGAAAAACCUUUAGUGGUGAGCAUCACAUGUAGCAAAAGAACCGACACAAUGGUAAAGUUGUGUGAGGCCUUUGAAUCUUUGAAGCUAAAAAUAAUUACAGCGAAUAUCACCGCAGUUGCCGGCAGGCUGUUGAAGACGGCUUUUAUCGAGGGUUAAGAGCUGCCCCCUUCAAAGUUUCCGACGUCCACGUCCAUUCUCCUUGACAACUCACUCUAGUGCGCCGUCAACUCUACAAACGAUGCCUCUUCUCCCUCCUCAGUGAUUUCUCAAAACCAUCAAAAAUUUGGCAGAAAUAACCAAAUUUGUCACACAGAUCUGUCACACAUCAUCAACCACACUUCUUGUAAGUGCUCGUUAAAAAUAUUCAAGUAAUAUAUCUUCAAAAUAAGGUGGUGCGUACAUAGAAAUAUUUGGGUUUUUAAAAGAUAAUUGGUGGAAACUUGAGAAAAGAGUAAACUUUGGAUGGGAGUAAGUCUUUUGGCCUCAAGAAAGCUGCAGUGGAAGAAUUAUAAGUCUUGGGACUCAUUUUUCUUCAACUUUGAAAUCUAAGAACCAGAAGUUGUUACAAAAGUUCGGAGUAAGUUGGAUAUGUGGUGUGCAAAUUAGAUAGUAAUUUAUAGGGAAAAAGAUAAUGAAUUUAAGGCCGGUGGUUAAGGUGCAAUUAAUAUGUUGCUUAAUAUACAUUUUACUUGCCUUUUGUAGAUUAUAAACCAUUCCAUGAAGAAACAUUACCAUUUUUAUAGAAAAAAAUUAAAUUAUUAAAUAUGUUAAAUUAUUUCAUUUUCUUUGCAUAA